AUGGAGAGCUAUAUAAAAAAAAUAAAAAAUUUAAAAUUUAUUUUUUGAUGAAGAGAAGAUGACCACUGGACAAGAAAUAGAAAAAAAAAUUGAAAAUAUAAAAAUAAGAAGAGAGUUUAAGGGAAUAAAGGAGUAACGACACAAGAAUUAAAUUUGAUUAGGUUAAAUAAUAAUCAAAUGAUAAAAAAAUAAAAAAGUGAAUUUGAAACUUUAACUAAUUGGGUUUAAUUUAUUUGUAGUGGGAUCAUUUAAAAUUUGAAGUGGGAGCAUAUUAUAUAUAACUAUAUUUUUUUUAAAAAAAAAUUAAAAAGUGGGGGCAAGUGCCCCCUCAUUGUUGCCCCUCAUUGUUGCUACUGGGUCCGUCCCUGUUCUUCACCAAGUCCUCUUAACGUAGCUUCAAUGUAUUCAUCUUUGGAUAGCGAGGCUCCAAGAGCAUUGAGCGCAUCGGCUACUUGAUUAAUCUUUGACAUGUAUUCUGCUACUGUUGAACCUUGUUUCUUGAGUGCUUUCAGCUGCGUUUUGAGUUGUUUAAUCCUAAAUUUGACUCUGGCUUCAAAAUAUUCGUUCAACCCAUUCCAGAUAUCAUAUGCAUAAUCGUAUUCGAUCUCAUGAUUAACGAAAUUGGACUCCAUCGUUGUCAUUAGCCAAGCUACAAGGCACUGAUCUUGCACUUCCCAAUCGAUAUAAUCUUGAGCUUCAAUUAUAUUGAUUCUAUCUGUUUUUGAGCUGAACCGUGGAGUGUUGUCCAUGGACCGAAGAAACUCUGAUACCAUGUGAAGGUAUCAAAUUCUCUAAGAUAACGAAGAGAGGAUGAGAAAGAAUAUGAGAAGUUGAAAGAAAAUAUCUGAUAUUUUCUUUGGAGAGAAGUUUUAUACUUUUAUUGACAAAUCUAACUAAUUGGUACAAUGUGUAAAUAUUUAUAUGAAAGCUAAUUGACUCUAGUGCUGACUUAUACCUUAUUUGACUAGUUCUAACAAACUAAUUGACUCCAGCUAACUGCAUGUACUUUAUCAUAUGUACUCUCAAUACUCUUAAUACUCUUAACAUCAAUCCUAUUGCUUGAGCUUCGAGGAUCUGCUACCUUUUAUAUGCUAUCUCAGUGUUUUU